AUUGAAGGAGAAACAUUCGGAGAAAGGAACAUGAAAAGACUAGGGAAUUCAGUCAAUCGUUCUCAGUUGCUCCAUGGCAGCCAUCCUCAGAAGGAUGAGUCACCUUCCUCUUACCCGAGAUGACAAACUGGAGCUUACAGGAGCUUCUUAGGCUUUAUGUUAGGAACUUGAAUUCCAAUUCCAACUCACAACUCCUUGAUGUCCAUCAAUUAGCUCGUAUGCUGCCAUCUUCAAGCAAUUGCAGCCAUCCCCAAAAGAGGCAUCAUCUCUCUGUUACUAGAGAUGGUGAAUGUGGUACUGAUUCACGAGAUUUGUUGGUGCUGAGCCAAGUUGUCAUGCAGAAUACACUAUACAACCUGAAACAAGACCAGCCGAUGCAGAUGCAAGAACGCCAGAGCAAGGGCGUCUUAAGCUACGUGUCAGGAAUCUAUAUUCCAAGUCACAACUACUUGGCAUUGAUCAAUUAGCUCACCUGCUGUCAUCAUGUGUCAUCAUCAGGCAAUUGCAGCCAUCCACAGAAGGAUGUUAAUAAGAGUCACCUUUCUCUUACCCGAAUCUAAAACUAGUCCGAGGAUAUCUACUGCUGCCGAGCCAACUCGUAAUGAACCAAAAGCUAUACAAUAUAAUGUGGGAACUGGCUCUUCAACAAGUUCCAAUUCUACAAGUUUUAAUUCCAGCUUCUGAAUCCAAGAACUUAUGCUGGUGCAUGAAGCGACAUGAGCUGCUAAUGUUUUAUCAAGCAUGGUGUUAGAAAAUGUCGAAUCGAGUAGAUUGAUUUUAGCAACCAUAACAUCCAAAACCAGCUCAAAGGUUGGAGAUUCCAAUGCUUAUGGUGAUCGUGGACUUCCAUCAUAGCAAGGAACAUAGUUGCAUCUUCAAGGGGUGCUCCUACCAAAGGACCAAGACAAGAUUGAUCGUGUGUGUUCACGACAUCAACAUUCAGUCAAACGCUUUGCUGAAUGUGAAUGACUCAAGCAAGGUAACAUAAAUUUGGCAGUUGACAUUCAAGCCAUCCCCAAAAGAGGCAUCAUCUCUCUGUUAGUAGAGAUGGUGAAUGUGGUACUGAUUCAGGAGAUUUAUUGGUGCUGAGCCAAUUUGUCAUGCAGAAUACACUAUACAACCUGAAACAAGACCGGCUGAUGCAGAUGCAAGAAUGCCCAAGCAAGGGCGUCUUAAGCUACGUGUCACGAAUCUGAAUUCCAAGUCACAACUACUUGGUAUUGAUCAAUUAGCACACCUGCUGUCAUCAUGAGGCAAUUGCAGAAUACACUAUACAAGCUGAAACAACACCAGCUGAUGCAGAUUCAAGAAUGCCAAGGCAAGGGCGUCUUAAGGUACGUGUCAGGAAUUUGAAUUCCAAGUCACAACUACUUGGUAUCAAUUAGCUCACCUGCUGUCAUCAUCAGGCAAUUGUAGAAUACACUAUACAAGCUGAAACAACACCAGCUGAUACAGCUCAAAGGUUGGAUAACCCAAUGCUUGUGCUAAUCGUGGACUUCCAUCACAGCAAGGAACAUAGUUGCAUCUUGAAGGGGUGCUCCUACCAAAGGACCAAGACAAGAUUGAUCGUGUGUGUUCACGACAUCAACAUUCAGUCGAACGCUUUGCUGAAUGUGAAUGACUCAAGCAAGGUAACAUAAAUUUGGCAGUUGACAUACAAGGUAUGACUUUUUCUUUUUGGUUGUUAUGCUUGAUGUAUUUCUUUUUGGGUUAAUUUUGUGCGAUUGAUGUCUUUUGAUUCUUUUUGUCUUUUCACUGUUAGUGACUGUGGUUUUGUGGUGAUUGGUUUGUGAUUUUUGGGGUUUUAUUCAGAAUGAUUUACGUGUUUGUGUUUUUUGUGUUCUCAUUAUUUUUGUGAUGUAGGGUUGUUUGCUUUGUUUGUGUAAUUUAUUUUGUGUUUUCAUUGUAUUUGUGCUCUUUGUAGUGUAAUUUGACACGUGAUUGUGGUUUGUCUUCUGAUUCACUAUGAUUGUGGGUUACUCCUUUCCAAAUAAUCAAUUGUUCAUUUAUUUAGAAGCAUGAUGCUAACACGUUAUUUUUUUAAUGUGCCAUCCUAUCUUGCAGCCAUCCCCAAAAGAGGCAUCAUCUCUCUGUUAGUAGAGAUGGUGAAUGUGGUACUGAUUCAGGAGAUUUAUUGGUGCUGAGCCAAUUUGUCAUGCAGAAUACACUAUACAACCUGAAACAAGACCGGCUGAUGCAGAUGCAAGAAUGGCAGAGCAAGGGCGGCUUAUGCUACGUGUCACGAAUCUGAAUUCCAAGUCACAACUACUUGGUAUUGAUCAAUUAGCACACCUGCUGUCAUCAUUAGGCAAUUGCAGAAUACACCAUACAAGCUGAAACAACACGAGCUGAUGCAGAUGCAAGAAUGCCAAAGCAAGGGUGUCUUAAGCUACGUGUCAGGAAUUUGAAUUCCAAGUCACAACUACUUGGUAUCAAUUAGCUCACCUGCUGUCAUCAUCAGGCAAUUAAUACACUAUACAAGCUGAAACAACACCAGCUGAUGCAGCUCAAAGGUUGGAUAACCCAAUGCUUGUGCUAAUCGUGGACUUCCAUCACAGCAAGGAACAUAGUUGCAUCUUGAAGGGGUGCUCCUACCAAAGGACCAAGACAAGAUUGAUCGUGUGUGUUCACGACAUCAACAUUCAGUCGAACGCUUUGCUGAAUGUGAAUGACUCAAGCAAGGUAACAUAAAUUUGGCAGUUGACAUACAAGGUAUGACUUUUUCUUUUUGGUUGUUAUGCUUGAUGUAUUUCCUUUUGGGUUAAUUUUGUGCGAUUGAUGUCUUUUGAUUCUUUUUGUCUUUUCACUGUUAGUGAUUGUGGGUUUUUUGUGAUUGGUUUGUGAUUUUUGGGGUUUUAUUCAGAAUUAUUUACGUGUUUGUGUUUUUUGUGUUCUCAUUGGUUGUGAUGUGGGGUCGUGUUGUUUGCUUUGUUUGUGUAAUUUAUUUUGUGUUUUCGUUGUAUUUUUGCUCUUUGUAGUGUAAUUUGACAUGUGAUUGUGGUUUGUCUUCUGAUUGACUAUGAUUGUGGGUUUCUUUUUGAGUGUUGUGUGGUUCUUGGAUUUUUAUUGUUUAUGUGACUGUUUGUAUUUUGAUUGUUUGAUUGUUCUUUGUUGUGGGUUGCUUUAGUUACUUGAAUUGUUGUGUGUUUUGGUGCAAUUUGACUUAAUUGUUCGAACGUGUUUCUUGGAUGAGAUCUUUUGUGUUCUAAAUAGUUUAUGUGAUUAUGGGUUGUUUGUAUCUUUGUGUGAUUUUGGUUUGUCUUCUUAUUCUUUUUGUGAUCGUGAGUUUGUCUUAUGAGUUAUUCGUGAUUGUGGGUACUUUUCGGAUUGAUUGUUUUGUGAUUUGUGGGAUUUUGUUGUGAUUGUUUAUUUGAUUAUGUUGUUUGUGAUUUCUCGAUUGUUUUUGUGGGUUAUGAUUCUUGAAUUUCUAGUUUCUUGGAAUUUAUUUUAAUUUUGUCUUGUAAUUAGUUUUGUGAUUGUGGGCUAGUGCAACUCGUGUGAUAUUUGAAUUAGUUUCUUGAACCUUUCUUUGUUGCCGUGAUUAUUCACUUUUUUUUGGGUGAAUUUGGUGUGAUUGAUGUUCCAAUAUUUGGUUAGUUUUCUGGGUGUUUGAAUCUUUUGAUGUUCUAAUGGAAUUUCAGUAAUGAAUUAUGUGAUUGUUGGUUUUUUUUUUUUGAUUGAUUGUUGUGCGAUUUGUGGGAUUUUAUUUUGGUUGUUUAUGUGAUUGUGGUGUUUGUGUUCUCAUUGUAUUUGUGCUAUUUGUAGUAUUUGACCUGUGAUUGUGGUUUGUCUUCUGAUUGACUGUUAUUGUGGGUUUUUUUGUGAGUGUUGUGUGAUUUCGGGGUUUUUAUUGUUUAUGUGAUAGUUUGUAUUCUGAUUGUUUGAUUGUUCUUGGUUGUGGGCACCUUGUUUAGUUACUUGAAUUGUGUGACUAAUGUCUUAUGAUCUUUUUUUCUUCUGAUUGUUCGUGAUUGUGGGUUUUUUGUGAUUGUUGUGUGAUUUGUGGGUUAUCAUUCACAUUUUUUAUGUUGUUUGUGCUUUUUGUGUUUUGAUUGUUUUUGUGACUGUGUUUUGUUGGUUUGCAUUGUUUGUGUGACUUAUUGUUGGUUUUGGUGCAAUUUGAUGACCUAUUUGUUUGUUCUUGUUUGUUGGAUUCGAUCUUUUGUUUCUAAUUAGUUUGUGAUUGUGGGAUACCUUUUGUGAUUCUUGAUUGUUUCUUGUGGAUUAUGAUUCUUGAAUUUUAGUUUCUUGUAAUUUUAUUUUAAUUUUGUCUUGUAAUUAGUUUUGUGAUUGUGGGUUUGUGGUGAAAGUGAGAUGAUAUUUGAAUUAGUUUCUUUUGUGGUGUGAUUAUUGAUUUUUUCGUUUGGGUUAAUUUGGUCUACUGAUGUUCCAAAUGUUUGGUUAGUUUUCUCAAUAUUUGAUUAUUUUGAUGUUCUAACGGAAUUUUAGCUUAGUGUUGUGAUUGAGGGUUUGCGUGCAACUGGCUUGAUAUUUGAAUCUGUUUCUUGGACUUUUCUAUUUGGUUGUGAUUCUUGAUAUUAUUUGGUUAAUUUGGUCCAAUUAAAGUUCUAAUAGUCACUUAGUUUUCUUGGUGUUUGAUUCUUUUGAGUGUUGUAAUGGGAUUUCAUCCCCUUGCUAUUAUUGAGACGUAGUUUCAUGGAGCUAUGUAUUUCGAUGUUGGUAGCAGUGUUUGAAGCAGGAGCAUUGUGGUUAACGUAAUUUUAUAGUUUCAUGGGCUUGCUGCUGCCCAUCUUGACGAAACGGUCAACAGUAGUUCGCUUCACAAAUUCUUUUUCCUUGCAUCCUUGUUUCAUGUAUUGUUGACCUUGUUGCUUUUUCUUCCCUAUAGGUCGCUUGUGUAAGUGCUGCUCUCAAGGACACCAAGUUUGGCGCAAAAUAUCGAAUCGAGUAGGUUGAUUUUAGCAACCAUAUCAUCCAAAACCAGCUCAAAAGUUGGAAAAUCCAAUGCUUUUGGUGAUUGUGUAAUUCCAUCAUGUUCGUGUAGAGAGGUGUUCCUACCAAAGGACCAAGACAAGAUUGAUCGUGUCUGUUCAUGACAUCAACAUUCACUCACAUGCUUUGCUGAAUGUGAAUGACUCAAACAAAGUAACAUAAAUUUGGCAGUUGACACACAAGCCAUCCUCAUAAGGAUGUUAAUAAGAGUCACCUUUCUCUUACCCGAGAUGACAGAUCUGGAGCUUACAGGAGCUUCUUAGGCUUUAUGUUAGGAACUUGAAUUCCAAUUCCAACUCGCAACUCAUUGACGUCCAUCAAUUAGCUCGUAUGCUGCCAUCUUCAAGCAAUUGCAGGAUGGCGAAUGUGGUACUGAUUUUAGGAGAUUUAUUGGUGCUGAGCCAAUUUGUCAUGCAGAAUAUACUAUACAACCUGAAACAAGACCAGCUGAUGCAGAUGCAGAAUGCCAGAGGAAGGGCGUCUUAAGCUACGUGUCAGGAAUCUGAAUUCCAAGUCACAACUACUUGGUAUCGAUCAAUUAGCUCACCUGCUGUGUCAUCAUCAGGCAAUUGCAGCCAUCCUCAGAAGGAUGUUAAUAAGAGUCACCUUUCUCUUACCCGAAUCUGGAACUAGUCCGAGGAUAUCUACUGCUGCCGAGCCAACUCGUAAUGAACCAAAAGCUAUACAAUAUAAUGUGGGAACUGGUUCCUUUAAAGAUGGUGCAAAGGAAGGAACUUGGAUUUAGUCUUAGUCUUAGGGUCCUAAUAGGAUGUUUGUGAUGCUGGACAAGUUUCAAAGGCUCUCCAUCAAGUUCCAAUUCUACAAGUGUUAAUUCCAGCUUCUGAAUCCAAGAACUUAUGCUGGUGCAUGAAGCGACAUGAGCUGCUAAUGUUUUCUCAAGCUCGGUGAAAAUAUGGAAUCGGGUAGAUUGAUUUUAGCAACCAUAACAUCCAAAACCAGCUCAAAGGUUGGAAAAUCCAAUGCUUAUGGUGAUCGUGGACUUCCAUCAUAGCAAGGAACAUAGUUGCAUCUUCAAGGGGUACUCCUACCAAAGCACCAAGACAAGAUUGAUCGUGUGUGUUCACGACAUCAACAUUCAGUCACAUGCUCUGCUGAAUGUGAAUGACUCAAGCAAGGUAACAUAAAUUUGGCAGUUGACAUACAAGGUAUGACUUUUUCUUUUGGGUUGUUAUGCUUGAUGUAUUUCUUUUUAGGUUAAUUUUGUCCGAUUGAUGUCUUUUUAUUCUUUUUGUCUUUUCACUGUUGGUGAUUGUGGAUUUUUUGUGAUUGAUUUGUGA